UACGGAGGGUGCAAACGUUAAUCGGAAUUACUGGGCGUAAAGCGCACGUAGGCGGUCCGUUAAGUGGGGUGUGAAAGCCCUGGGCUCAACCUGGGAAUUGCAUUCCAAACUGACGGGCUAGAGUGUGGUAGAGGGGGGUAGAAUUCCAUGUGUAGCGGUGAAAUGCGUAGAUAUAGGGAGGAAUACCUGUGGCGAAGGCGGCCCCCUGGACCAACACUGACGCUGAGGUGCGAAAGCGUGGGGAGCAAACAGG
rnacentral:rRNA from 1 species